UAAAUGCACAGAUACACAUUUAAAAACAUCCCAGUGAUUGUAUUUACAUGUUACUCUCGAUUUCAAUUUGCUCUUGAAAUAUGACUUUGAAUGAUUAAUGCUUGUUUAUAAAUUCAGAAUGUUUAUUGCAAAGUUCCAAAAUUUUGUUUGGAAGUAAAGUUCAUUCCGAUGAUUGACGACGAUUCAAUAAGCAAUUUGAUUGUGGCUGACCGAUUUUAAUACACAACACAACGUUUGCCCAAACUUUUUUUACAACUUCAGUUGUACUGUGUAAAUCAAGCGCAUAACUCGCCUAUGAUGUUGUAGGACAGUUGUGGACUUGAUUUACACAGUAACAAUUUUAGGCAAAAGUUGUAAAUCGGCCUUUAUUUACCUAGCUGAUUACAACUUGCAAAACGCAAUCAUUG